rnacentral:rRNA from 1 species
UAAUACUCCAUAGAUUAGAGACACUGGAAUGUUCUUUAGUCGAAAGUUCUGGCGCCUUAGGAUGGAUCUGCGGUCGAUUAGGUUGUUGUUGGGGUAACGGCCCAACAAGCCUGUAAUCGAUACGGGUUGUGGGAGCAAGAGCCCGGAGAUGGAAUCUGAGACACGAUUCCAGGCCCUACGGGGCGCAGCAGGCGCGAAAACUUUACAAUGCAGGAAACUGUGAUAAGGGAACUCCGAGUGCCCGUAUACGCGGGCUGUCCAGGUGUUUAAAAAUCAUCUGAAGAAAGGGCCGGGCAAGACCGGUGCCAGCCGCCGCGGUAAUACCGGCGGCUCGAGUGGUGGCCACUAUUAUUGGGCUUAAAGCGGCCGUAGCUGGACCGAUAAGUCUCUUGGGAAAUCCGCCGGCUCAACCGGCGGGCGUCUAAGGGAUACUGUUAGUCUAGGGACCGGGAGAGGUGAGAGGUACUCCGGGGGUAGGAGUGAAAUCCUGUAAUCCCCGGGGGACCACCGAUGGCGAAGGCAUCUCACCAGAACGGCUCCGACAGUGAGGGACGAAAGCUGGGGGAGCGAACCGGAUUAGAUACCCGGGUAGUCCCAGCCGUAAACUAUGCGCGUUAGGUGU